UACGUAGGUGACAAGCGUUGUCCGGAUUUACUGGGCGUAAAGAGCGCGCAGGCGGUCGAUCAAGUCGAGUGUGAAAGCCCCCGGCUCAACUGGGGAGGGUCAUUCGAUACUGAUCGACUCGAAGGCAGGAGAGGGUAGUGGAAUUCCUGGUGUAGCGGUGAAAUGCGCAGAUAUCAGGAGGAACACCGACGGCGAAGGCAGCACUCUGGGCCGGUACUGACGCUGAGGAGCGAAAGCAUGGGGAGCGAACAGG
rnacentral:rRNA from 1 species